CACGUAGGCGGAUAUUUAAGUCAGGGGUGAAAUCCCGGGGCUCAACCCCGGAACUGCCUUUGAUACUGGGUAUCUGGAGUAUGGAAGAGGUAAGUGGAAUUCCGAGUGUAGAGGUGAAAUUCGUAGAUAUUCGGAGGAACACCAGUGGCGAAGGCGGCUUACUGGUCCAUUACUGGCGCUGAGGUGCGAAAGCGUGGGGAGGCAAACAA
rnacentral:rRNA from 1 species